rnacentral:rRNA from 1 species
CCUACGGGGGGCUGCAGUGGGGAAUAUUGGACAAUGGGCGCAAGCCUGAUCCAGCAAUGCCGCGUGUGUGAAGAAGGCCUGCGGGUUGUAAAGCACUUUAAGCAGGAAAGAAGGGGUGGAAGUUAAUACCUUUCACCAUUGACGUUACCUGCAGAAUAAGCACCGGCUAACUCCGUGCCAGCAGCCGCGGUAAUACGGAGGGUGCAUGCGUUAAGCGGAAUUACUGGGCGCAAUUCGCGCGGUCGCGGGUGAAAGCCCCGGGCUUAACCUGGGAACUGCGGUGGUUACUGUCGGGCUGGAGUGUGGUAGAGGGGAGUGGAAUUUCCGGUGUAGCAGUGAAAUGCGUAGAGAUCGGAAGGAACACCAGUGGCGAAGGCGGCUCCCUGGACUAACACUGACGCUGAGGUGCGAAAGCGUGGGGAGCAAACAGGAUUAGAUACCCUUGUAGUC